GACGAACGCUGGCGGCGUGCUUAACACAUGCAAGUCGAACGGAAAGGCCCUGCUUUUGUGGGGUGCUCGAGUUGCGAACGGGUGAGUAACACGUGAGUAACCUGCCCUUGACUUUGGGAUAACUUCAGGAAACUUGGGCUAAUACCGGAUAGGAGCUCCUGCUGCAUGGUGGGGGUUGGAAAGUUUCGGCGGUUGGGGAUGGACUCGCGGCUUAUCAGCUUGUUGGUGGGGUAGUGGCUUACCAAGGCUUUGACGGGUAGCCGGCCUGAGAGGGUGACCGGCCACAUUGGGACUGAGAUACGGCACAGACUCCUACGGGAGGCAGCAGUGGGGAAUAUUGCACAAUGGGCGGAAGCCUGAUGCAGCAACGCAGCGUGCGGGAUGACGGCCUUCGGGUUGUAAACCGAUUUCGCCUGUGACGAAGCGUGAGUGACGGUAAUGGGUAAAGAAGCACCGGCUAACUACGUG
rnacentral:rRNA from 1 species